CAAAGAUUAAGCCAUGCAUGUCUAAGUACAUGCCGAAAUAAGGCGAAACCGCGAAUGGCUCAUUAAAUCAGUUAUGGUUCCUUAGAUCGUUUCUUUCUACUUGGAUAACUGUGGCAAUUCUAGAGCUAAUACAUGCAGGAAACCUGAAGGCCUUUGGCUAACGGGUGCUUUUAUUAGACCAAGACCCAUCGGGUUCUGCCCGUACUCUGUGGUGACUCUGGAUAACUUUGUGCCGAUCGCACGGCCACGAGCCGGCGACGUUUCUUUCAAGUGUCUGCCUUAUCAACUUUCGAUGGUAGGUUACUUGCCUACCAUGGUUGUUACGGGUAACGGAGAAUCAGGGUUCGAUUCCGGAGAGGGAGCCUGAGAAACGGCUACCACAUCCAAGGAAGGCAGCAGGCGCGCAAAUUACCCACUCCCGGCACGGGGAGGUAGUGACGAAAAAUAACAAUACGGGACUCUUUUGAGGCCCCGUAAUUGAAAUGAGUACACUCUAAAUCCUUUAACGAGGAUCAAUUGGAGGGCAAGUCUGGUGCCAGCAGCCGCGGUAAUUCCAGCUCCAAUAGCGUAUACUAAAGCUGCUGCGGUUAAAAAGCUCGUAGUUGGAUCUCAGUUCCAGACGAGUAGUGCAUCUACCCGAUGCGACGGCUCGGACUGAACAUCAUGCCGGUCUCUUCUUGGUGCCCUUCAUUGGUGCGUCUCGAGGUGGCCGGUGCUUUUACUUUGAAAAAAUUAGAGUGCUCAACGCAGGCGAGUCGCCUGAAUAAACUUGCAUGGAAUAAUGGAACAAGAUCUCGUUUCUGUUCCGUUGGUUUUUGGAAUACGAGAUAAUGAUUAAGAGGGACAGACGGGGGCAUUCGUAUUGCGGCGCUAGAGGUGAAAUUCUUGGACCGUCGCAAGACGAACUACUGCGAAAGCAUUUGCCAAGAAUGUUUUCUUUGAUCAAGAACGAAAGUCAGAGGUUCGAAGGCGAUCAGAUACCGCCCUAGUUCUGACCAUAAACGAUGCCAACCAGCGAUCCGCCUGAGUUACUCAAAUGACUCGGCGGGCAGCUUCCGGGAAACCAAAGUAUUUGGGUUCCGGGGGAA
rnacentral:rRNA from 1 species